rnacentral:lncRNA from 1 species
GGCGGAGGCUCUGAGGAGGUAGGGACUGUGUCUGCUGCGCUGUUUGUUAUAGGAUGUUGCAGUCCUCUUUUGCAUACUGGCAGUGACAAGUUCAGGCUUGUUCAUCUGACACAGUCCUGUGGUCACAACGAAUCUGUCUGAACCAAUGGAGAAGGGUGUUGGAUGGAUCCUCUGAACACUCAGUGGGACUUCCUGAAAGAUUUAUUAGGAGAAAAACCUUCCUGGAAGCAGCAGCAGAGCAAGCCCAGAGUGGCUGGGCUGGGCAGGAGCCUCCUGGCCUGAUCGCCACUGUUUGGGAGCAAUUACAUCCUGGAGGGCUCCAGGACAUUGAUUGUGAAAUGAGGAAGAGCUUGGGUGCACUGAGAGAAGUUUACUAAUGGAUCCUACUGCCUGGCCCUCAGGAUCACAGAGCAGUGGAGGGAAGCCCCCCAAGUUAAAAAUAAUUACACGCCAGAUGCCGUUCCAAGUUCUGUGCCUCAACCAGUUAAAGAUUUUUGGAUCUUUUGCCCAGAAGGCCUGUUCAGAAGGGCAGCUGGAAUUACUACCCGGUGCCCUCAGGCAAGCCAUGGAUGACCUGACUAAGGAGAUGGUGUCUGGCCGGGGCCACCAGGUUGGGGAGAAGAGGCUGUGGACUUGCCUUCCAUGUGGUCCAGGACUUGCUGGCGAAGGACUGUGGGCUUCCAGCAAUACUUUUAACCUGGAAAGAAUAAAAGAGUUGAGGGUGGACCCCUCAGCUGCUGCUGCUGACAUCUUAUCACUUAAGCACAUAUUUUUCUGA